AGCCCCGGAGCCCUUUUGGGCUCUUCUUCAAACUUGCAUUUUGACGUAAAACACCUCGAGGCUU
rnacentral:tRNA from 1 species